AGUCAAAGCAACCUUCAGCUUCUAAACCCUGCCAUAUCUGUGGCAAACGCCUAAAGAGUAACCUAUUGUUAAGGUCAGUUGGAAAAGCAGCUGACCAGAACACAGCCUGUCCGUUGUACAUUUAUGGAUCUUGAGCUGGAAGGGGGAAAUUGGGUAAUGAUUAGAUAGGUGAACUCACUGCUCUUAUCAGAUGAAAUCACUUUUUUCAAAGGAUUAUAGCAGAAAGUUGAAUUUGUGACUUAUAUGAGGACUUUAACCAAAUUAACAGCUCAUUUGGGAUUUGGAACGUACACUUUAAUAUACUAGAACAAGAUUUCCUGAACCAAAAUCAAAGAAAUUUUAGUAGUUUCUGAAAGCUAUUUUCUUAGCCAGUGCAGACUUUUUAAACUUUUAAGUAUGGGAGUAGCACACUAGAUAAAUAGCCCUACAGUUCAGUUAUUUAUCUGUAAACUGCUUCCUAAAUACAGUUUUAUUUAUUAAUGAUCAUUUGAAACAUUCCUGUCGAGGAGAGAGCUGCUAGCAACAGCAGGAUGACCAUUGGAAUGACUUAGGUUAUCUGGGUGGAAAAGAGUAGGAAAAGAUACAGGUAACUCGCCUAGGGGCUUUUGUCACAAUAUCACAGGAAUUUAAGAUUAGUUUGUCUCUUCACAAAAUGAAUAUACUUGCUUGCUUAGGAGUGCAGACUAGCUGGCAUUAUCCCCACUGGGAGGAGCUAAAGCAUUUGGCAGAGGGAGGGCAUUGAGACCUGGUAUUUUCUGUCCUAGAUAUCUGACCUUUCCCUGGAAGCUUGUUCUUCUGUGUGCCAUCUUAGCGCAUUUCACCACUCCAGCCUCAAGUUUCUAACAUCUUGUAGUUGUGUUCUGUCUCUUCUCUCUCUGUUCUUCCCUGUUUUUCCCCUCUCACAGGCUGUGCGAAGUUUAACUGUGCAUCUGAACAGGUGACAUUCAAACCUGGUGGCAGGAGGACCCGAUUUCUGAGUACGCCCUGCUUGGCUCUUUGGAAGAUGGUGAAAAAAGUCUGUCCUUGCAACCAGCUCUGUAUGUGCCCUCCAGCAGAGCCGAAAUCAGGCAGGACACAGACCCCUUCUUCCUUUCUCAUCAAACCAUAGAAAUAGAAUUCCUUCAUCAUAACCUCAAAGCUUCCUCCUUCCCUUUGCACUCCUACCUCAGCUGAAUGUUCCUGUUGCUUCCACUUGCGAGUGCUUGCUCUUCUGGGAAGGGGGGAGGGACGAGAAUUCAUGAACCAGUUGAAACUGAGGUCAUCUUCAGGAAAACCAUGUCUUCCUGCAGUUGAACGAUUCAGGCACUGCAGAGAACCUUCCUCAGGAGUAAUCUUGGUUCUUAACUCAUAGGCAAAUGGGAGAGGUUGAAGCCUUCAUUCCUCCCGAGUUCAUGUUUAUGAAUGUGUGUGUGUGGGUCCACAUGAAAAAGGUUUUUGAACAGAGCAUGCUAUCUCUCCUAUCGCUUCUUUCUGUUAAAGAAUGGCUGAAGAUUGUGGCAUAGUAUCCACAUGGUUUGGGAACCCCAUCUUUUCCCGGGCCAGGCAAUCUACCUUUGCAUUCCUUUAACUCCUGCUUUCAACCCUGCCUCAGGGCUCAAGAAAUCAUCUUCUUUUGCCCUGCAUUCUGCAGCAUUCUAGAGCCUCACUGACCUUAGCGCACCUCCCUCAUCAGCGUGAUGCUGGGAAUGGGGUGCUGAAAGUUGAGUUUCAGUACGCUGAAAUACCAUGUGAGUGGGCUGAAAGCAGUCCCCAGCCUUUGUGCCUGCCCUCAUCCGGAGUUUUUAGCUUCAUCUGCCACAACUCCUAAAGAGAAUCUGUUUUCAUUACCCCGUUACCUAUGUCGGAACAUAUGGCCAGACAAACCCUUGAACCCUUCCCCUCUUGCAUGCCUUCCCAGCUUAUCCUCUCCUCAUUCAGUGGCUUGCCAUUCAUCAUCCUGUGAAGUUUUCCCUCUUUCUGAAGUUCUAACCCAAGCUCCUUUUAAUGGUUGUGUUCUGUUGCUUCGUCUAA